GGUUCAUGGUGUAAUGGUUAGCACUCAAGACUCUGAAUCUUGCGAUCCGAGUUCAAAUCUCGGUCGAAACU
rnacentral:tRNA from 1 species